UCAUCUUGAAUUAAUUCAAUUCAACAUGCAAAUGGAAAAGAAACUUACUAGGAAGAGAUGCAGAUUAACAAUGCCAAUUACUUACGCGUUAAAGUUGAAGUAACGAAGUAAACUAAAGAGAUGAAUUCGCAAUUUGAAUAGAAAGCUUCCGUGGUUUACUUGGCUUAAACAAAGUUGAUGACCGAUACGUUGAACUAUAUAUAUCCCAUAAAAGAGGAUACUGCUGAAAUGCAAAUAGCAAAACUGGGAUUGCUGCUAGCAGAGCAAUAGGUGCCGGGAUCCAAAUCGUAUCGUUUUUGAAAGUUAUGAAAAAUGUAGCAGUGAAAGCAACCAUCAUUGUCGCAAUGGACACAAAUAAAGAUGACAAGCCUACCAUUAGCUUGAAAGGUAGUAACUUCAGAAAGUCACUUUCUGCAUAUCUUGAUGUUAGGAUUGACAGAAACAUUAAUAUGGACGUUGCAGAAGCGAAUAACGAAACUGCAUUGGAUAUUGCAAAUACCUUAAAUGCUGCAUCUUUUAAUAGAAUCGGAGAUCCGUCUUUGUCAUCGUUACCACCAGGUAAGGUAAAAGCAGCAGUAAAAACAACUGUUGCAAUGAGUGUUGCUACUAGUGUACAUGAUUCUGCUGUCUUCUUCAUCCAUUCCUCUCCUUCUAAUCUUAAGUUCUUGUGUUCUUCUGUAAAUAAAGCUUGGGGUGUCAUUUGUGGGCCCUCUGUCGGAUUAUUCUUGGCCACAGCAUAGUGGGGUUGGACGACAUCUUUGACAGCCUACAAAAAUCAGGAAAGGUUAUUUAUGGGUGGGUUAUCUGAUUAAUUGUAAUUGAUUUAUCUGAAUUUUUAUGGAGAAUUUGUUUUUGGCUAAUUUUCUUGAAUAGGCUAAGCUAGUUUCCCUUUUUUUUUCCUCAAUAGGUGGGAUUGAAAGAUAGAAAAUUGUUGAAGAACCAACCCGAUUAAAAGCUUUAAUCAAUGGUUGAAGAGUCAUGAUAUGUUAUAUGCUCUAUGACACCCCUUCACGUGAGAGUUCUUUGGGCUGGUUAUAUUGAUGCAAAAUAGACCGUCUUCAUAGCUGGUGCUAAAUAUUCCACUUUAAAUAAGCGAUGAAUAAGAUUAGAACUUGUGAACUUUCAUGACAUUGGUUUCAGAAAUUAAUACAAUCAAAAGCUUAAAUUGAUGUUUAAAGCCACAUGGUAUGUAUAUAUUCAUGAAAUCAAUCCAAUACCAAAUAAACAUUUGAUACUGAAAUAUUAAAAUUAUUUGCACUUAUUAGAGGUGUAUUAUAGGCCAUUAUAUCUUUAUUUGCCUUAUUUUAUUUUAUUACAAUGCAUUUUGGGAAUAUAAGCUAUUUUGAUAAUUUUUAGGAUGAUUUUGGUCCAAGUGAUAGGUAAAUUCGUACGUGUGAAAAAUUUGAAGAAGCAAGCAAAAAGAAAUAGUUAAAAAUAGCCACUGAAAGAAGAUAGUUAGAAAUUUCAAGCACACAACCUUCCAAAACAAAUAGCCGACACGGCUUGUAAUGUAUGUGCCAAAAAGCCGAGUCGUCUUAGUAGGUGACAAAAAAAGUGGCUUUAGGUGAAAAAAUAACAUUUUCGCUUGACACGCGCCGACAAGAAUACCAAAAAUCUCGUAUGCCCCAUAAUCUAUGAAUAAUGAGUAUAUAUUGAUAUUCAUAUACAAUUGUAGUGAUUCCCAAUACCCUAGUCUUUUAUCAUUAUUGUUUGCAACCUUUUAGAUUUCAGUUUUAUAUAUGAAUCUUCACCAUAUAUUCUCUCUAUGUAUUUAUUAGAAUUUAGUAAAUCAAAUUGACCCAAACUUCCAUGUGUUUGACCCGCAUAUUACACGUACACCGUACACUUGGUUAAAUAAAAUUUGCUAUCAAUACCAUAGAACUUUCGUUACAGCAUUAUGUAUAAACUUGUUACAAUGCUAGCAAUCAAUACCCGAUACCCAAGCAUGCCUUGAAAGGUGCACGAAAAAGUGAAACAGAAAGGUAGUCGGAGAAAUUACCUCAAACCAUAAUAGCUCCCUUUGCAUUUGUAAAGCUGCACCUGAGACACAGUUGAGUCUAUCCGGAGGAGCAAUCUUUGCAGCUAAAUGCAGCAUAUUGUUCUGAUGCGGAUCAGUGUAUGACGCGAUUAAAGCUUUUAUGGCUCCAAUUUCGUGUAUAAGCUUAAAAAUUCCCUCGUGUCGACAUUCAAUAGCAAUGUGAAAGAUACUUCUGUUCUUUUCAUCAACUUUCCAUAUGACAUCAGGAUACGAAAGAAUUGAUGUGAUUAGGAACUCAACAUUCCCCAUUUCAGCAGCAACAAACAGCAGUCGUGAUGGAUAUGCAAUCAAAUUUGAGAUCUCAGUUUCUUCUAAUUUGAUGACUUCAUUCCAAGCUCUCUGAGUCACUUGAAGUGCAAGUUCUAGUUGAUGUUCUCCUUCAUCUUUGCCCAUGUUCUGCAAAGGCUUUUGAGCAAGGGUGUGCAGCACACUUUCGUCAUUCCAAUUCGCACGGGUCGCCAACCGAGGGUGCUUAUCUAUGAAAUAAAGUGCAACAUCUACAUACAAAAUGAACUCCUGUCAAUAGAGUAACAAAUUACCAACAAGAUAGAAGAGAGAACUGGAACCUCUUAUAUACCAUACAAGUCAGAUUCUAUGGCACUGGUAAGAAGAUUAACACGAUCAUCAUCGUUCAACAGGCUGUCAUCCGUUACUUCCUUGAGAUAUUUCACCAUAUCUCUGUGGCCAAGAAGGAUUGCCAUAUGAAGAGGAAUGAGGCUGCAAUGCAGAAGGCUGUAUUUUGAAGUGUGGUUUGUGAUUCAAGAAGAUCAUCUGAUUUAACCAUAAGGUCUACCAGAUGUCUUACGAAUUCAAGGUGCAUAGCAGCUGUUGCAAUGUGCAGAGUUGUGUCU